rnacentral:rRNA from 1 species
GACAGAGGUGCCGAGCGUUAGGCGGAAUCACUGGGCUUAAAGCGUGUGUAGGUGGAUCGUUAAGUACCUUGUGAAAUCCCACGGCUUAACCGUGGAACUGCUUGGUAUACUGGCGGUCUUGAGCCAGCUAGGGGCUACCGGAACAAAUGGUGGAGCGGUGAAAUGCGUAGAUAUCAUUUGGAACGCCAAUGGUGAAAACAGGUAGCUGGGGCUGUGCUGACGCUGAGACACGAAAGCCAGGGGAGCAAACGGG